rnacentral:rRNA from 1 species
UACGAAGGGGGGCUAGCGUUGCUCGGAAUCACUGGGCGUAAAGCGCACGUAGGCGGCUUUUUUAAGUCAGGGGUGAAAUCCUGGAGCUCAACUCCAGAACUGCCUUUGAUACUGAGAAGCUUGAGUCCGGGAGAGGUGAGUGGAACUGCGAGUGUAGAGGUGAAAUUCGUAGAUAUUCGCAAGAACACCAGUGGCGAAGGCGGCUCACUGGCCCCGGUACUGACGCUGAGGUGCGAAAGCGUGGGGAGCAAACAGG